GGAUGAACGCUAGCCACAGGCUUAACACAUGCAAGUCGAGGGGCAGCAUGGUCUUAGCUUGCUAAGGCCGAUGGCGACCGGCGCACGGGUGAGUAACGCGUAUCCAACCUGCCUUACACUCUUGGACAGCCUUCUGAAAGGGAGAUUAAUACAAGAUGUUAUCAUGAGUAAGCAUUUUCGCAUGAUUAAAGGUUUACCGGUGUAAGAUGGGGAUGCGUUCCAUUAGAUAGUAGGCGGGGUAACGGCCCACCUAGUCUUCGAUGGAUAGGGGUUCUGAGAGGAAGGUCCCCCACAUUGGAACUGAGACACGGUCCAAACUCCUACGGGAGGCAGCAGUGAGGAAUAUUGGUCAAUGGACGAGAGUCUGAACCAGCCAAGUAGCGUGAAGGAUGAAGGUUCUAUGGAUUGUAAACUUCUUUUAUACGGGAAUAAACGGAUCCACGUGUGGAUUUUUGCAUGUACCGUAUGAAUAAGGAUCGGCUAACUCCGUGCCAGCAGCCGCGGUAAUACGGAGGAUCCGAGCGUUAUCCGGAUUUAUUGGGUUUAAAGGGAGCGUAGAUGGGUUGUUAAGUCAGUUGUGAAAGUUUGCGGCUCAACCGUAAAAUUGCAAUUGAUACUGGCAGUCUUGAGUACAGUUGAGGUAGGCGGAAUUCGUGGUGUAGCGGUGAAAUGCUUAGAUAUCACGAAGAACUCCGAUUGCGAAGGCAGCUUACUAACCUGUAACUGACAUUGAUGCUCGAAAGUGUGGGUAUCAAACAGGAUUAGAUACCCUGGUAGUCCACACGGUAAACGAUGAAUACUCGCUGUAGGCGAUAUACAGUCUGCGGCCAAGCGAAAGCAUUAAGUAUUCCACCUGGGGAGUACGCCGGCAACGGUGAAACUCAAAGGAAUUGACGGGGGCCCGCACAAGCGGAGGAACAUGUGGUUUAAUUCGAUGAUACGCGAGGAACCUUACCCGGGCUUAAAUUGCAACCGAAUAUGGCGGAAACGCUAUAGCUAGCAAUAGCGGUUGUGAAGGUGCUGCAUGGUUGUCGUCAGCUCGUGCCGUGAGGUGUCGGCUUAAGUGCCAUAACGAGCGCAACCCUUGCCGAUAGUUACUAACAGGUCAUGCUGAGGACUCUGUCGGGACUGCCAUCGUAAGAUGUGAGGAAGGUGGGGAUGACGUCAAAUCAGCACGGCCCUUACGUCCGGGGCUACACACGUGUUACAAUGGGGGGUACAGAGGGCUGCUACCACGCAAGUGGAUGCCAAUCCCAAAAACCUCUCUCAGUUCGGAUUGAAGUCUGCAACCCGACUUCAUGAAGCUGGAUUCGCUAGUAAUCGCGCAUCAGCCACGGCGCGGUGAAUACGUUCCCGGGCCUCGUACACACCGCCCGUCAAGCCAUGGGAGCCGGGGGUACCUGAAGUGCGUAACCGCAAGGAGCGCCCUAGGGUAAAACUGG
rnacentral:rRNA from 1 species